AGUGAACGCUGGCGGUAGGCCUAACACAUGCAAGUCGAACGGCAGCACAGUAAGAGCUUGCUCUUACGGGUGGCGAGUGGCGGACGGGUGAGGAAUACAUCGGAAUCUACUUUUUCGUGGGGGAUAACGUAGGGAAACUUACGCUAAUACCGCAUACGACCUACGGGUGAAAGCAGGGGAGCUUCGGACCUUGGGCGAUUGAAGGAGCCGAUGUCGGAUUAGCUAGUUGGCGGGGUAACGGCCCACCAAGGCGACGAUCCGUAGCUGGUCUGAGAGGAUGAUCAGCCACACUGGAACUGAGACACGGUCCAGACUCCUACGGGAGGCAGCAGUGGGGAAUAUUGGACAAUGGGCGCAAGCCUGAUCCAGCCAUACCGCGUGGGUGAAGAAGGCCUUCGGGUUGUAAAGCCCUUUUGUUGGGAAAGAAAAGCAGCAGGUUAAUACCCCGCUGUUCUGACGGUACCCAAAGAAUAAGCACCGGCUAACUUCGUG
rnacentral:rRNA from 1 species